GUGAGGAAUAUUGGUCAAUGGGCGCAAGCCUGAACCAGCCAUCCCGCGUGCAGGAAGACGGCGCUAUGCGUUGUAAACUGCUUUUCCAGGGAGAGAAACUUGCGCACGUGUUGCGCAAUUGACGGUAUCCUGGGAAUAAGCAUCGGCUAACUCCGUGCCAGCAGCCGCGGUAAUACGGAGGAUGCGAGCGUUAUCCGGAUUCAUUGGGUUUAAAGGGUGCGUAGGCGGACUAUUAAGUCAGUGGUGAAAUCCUGCAGCUUAACUGCAGAACUGCCAUUGAUACUGAUAGCCUUGAGUUUGGUUAAGGUAGGCGGAAUGUGUAAUGUAGCGGUGAAAUGCUUAGAUAUUACACAGAACACCAAUUGCGUAGGCAGCUUACUGAGCCGACACUGACGCUGAGGCACGAAAGCGUGGGGAUCGAACAGGAUUAGAAACCCGUGUAGUCC
rnacentral:rRNA from 1 species